rfam:Cavia porcellus supercont2_7 genomic scaffold, whole genome shotgun sequence.
CUAUUUUGGUGCUUGCUUCAGCUAUACAUAUACUAAACAGAGAAGAUUAGCAUGCACCCUGCAUGAGUGUGACAUGCACAUUUGUGAAGCAUCUAUAUUUUAA